rnacentral:rRNA from 1 species
UACAGAGGGUGCAAGCGUUGCUCGGAAUUAUUGGGCGUAAAGGGCGCGUAGGCGGUUCGGCAAGUCUCUAGUGAAAUCUCUGGGCUCAACUCAGAGUCUGCUGGGGAAACUGCCGGGCUGGAGUGUGGGAGAGGAGAGUGGAAUUCCCGGUGUAGCGGUGAAAUGCGUAGAUAUCUGGAGGAACACCGGUGGCGAAGGCGGCAUCCUGGACCGGCAUUGACGCUGAGGCGCGAAAGCUAGGGGAGCAAACGGG